CUAAUACCGGAUAAUAUUUUGAACCGCAUGGUUCAAAAGUGAAAGACGGUCUUGCUGUCACUUAUAGAUGGAUCCGCGCUGCAUUAGCUAGUUGGUAAGGUAACGGCUUACCAAGGCAACGAUGCAUAGCCGACCUGAGAGGGUGAUCGGCCACACUGGAACUGAGACACGGUCCAGACUCCUACGGGAGGCAGCAGUAGGGAAUCUUCCGCAAUGGGCGAAAGCCUGACGGAGCAACGCCGCGUGAGUGAUGAAGGUCUUCGGAUCGUAAAACUCUGUUAUUAGGGAAGAACAUAUGUGUAAGUAACUGUGCACAUCUUGACGGUACCUAAUCAGAAAGCCACGGCUAACUACGUGCCAGCAGCCGCGGUAAUACGUAGGUGGCAAGCGUUAUCCGGAAUUAUUGGGCGUAAAGCGCGCGUAGGCGGUUUUUUAAGUCUGAUGUGAAAGCCCACGGCUCAACCGUGGAGGGUCAUUGGAAACUGGAAAACUUGAGUGCAGAAGAGGAAAGUGGAAUUCCAUGUGUAGCGGUGAAAUGCGCAGAGAUAUGGAGGAACACCAGUGGCGAAGGCGACUUUCUGGUCUGUAACUGACGCUGAUGUGCGAAAGCGUGGGGAUCAAACAGGAUUAGAUACCCUGGUAGUCCACGCCGUAAACGAUGAGUGCUAAGUGUUAGGGGGUUUCCGCCCCUUAGUGCUGCAGCUAACGCAUUAAGCACUCCGCCUGGGGAGUACGACCGCAAGGUUGAAACUCAAAGGAAUUGACGGGGACCCGCACAAGCGGUGGAGCAUGUGGUUUAAUUCGAAGCAACGCGAAGAACCUUACCAAAUCUUGACAUCCUUUGACAACUCUAGAGAUAGAGCCUUCCCCUUCGGGGGACAAAGUGACAGGUGGUGCAUGGUUGUCGUCAGCUCGUGUCGUGAGAUGUUGGGUUAAGUCCCGCAACGAGCGCAACCCUUAAGCUUAGUUGCCAUCAUUAAGUUGGGCACUCUAAGUUGACUGCCGGUGACAAACCGGAGGAAGGUGGGGAUGACGUCAAAUCAUCAUGCCCCUUAUGAUUUGGGCUACACACGUGCUACAAUGGACAAUACAAAGGGCAGCGAAACCGCGAGGUCAAGCAAAUCCCAUAAAGUUGUUCUCAGUUCGGAUUGUAGUCUGCAACUCGACUACAUGAAGCUGGAAUCGCUAGUAAUCGUAGAUCAGCAUGCUACGGUGAAUA
rnacentral:rRNA from 1 species